rnacentral:lncRNA from 1 species
GGGCACUUUAAAACUAAUAGCUGCCUCCCAACUUCAGUGUCCUUGUUUAUAUUUUCCGAUGGCUUCAGCCAUUUUAAUUAUUCAGAGCCAACAAGAGAGAAGAAAAGAGAGAGAGACCUAAUACCUAAAUGAUGCACUCAUACCACGUGAAAGUCAAAUCGUUCCAAGAUACAUUGUUAGAAGGGAAGAUUUAUAGGGGUUUAAAUCAAGGCAAGGCUGGGGAGGAGUGAGUGAGCUGCCUGGCACACCCCCGGGCGUGCCGCCGCGUGCUGUGGCUGGUGAGUACUAGUGCCUGUCGGAAAGUGCGACUUGGAUGUAGAAAGAAAAAAAUAACAUUAGUGUCGCUCAUUUGAAUUUUAGAAAUGUUGUAAUUCUGUUUGCAUUUAAUCUGUAAAUUUGCUUUUGGUUUCAUAGUCACAUAAGAGCUACAAGCAUACGAUUAUACCGAGCUUCAUGCUUCUACCUGCUUAAGUAAUAUAAUGAUAUUAACUUGUCAACACAGAGUCCCUGGGAGUAUUUUUCCCUUUAAAAGGAUUG